AUGAUGUCACUGAGAACUGCCGUAGACUACCUGCUGUACAGAUUUCCUUACAUUGACCAGAUUUGAGGGUGACACUUUCAGAAGAGUCUCCUGUUUAAGAGUGGAAACCUUUACAUACUAAAUCUCUCUAAAGGACCUUUUAUACUUGACAAAAAGAGUGAAGGUCAUGAUGCCUAAUGAUGAUGUCACUGAAAACUCUCAUGGACUACCUGAUGAACAACUUUCCUUACAUUGACAAGAUUCAAGUUUGCACUUUAAAGGCUCCACCAAGGGACGACUGACACUGAAGCAGACGCGCACGGUCAAAUAUCAGAUGGAGCUCAGUGAGUCUCACUGAAGAACUGAAGGAAGGACUGAGAGAGGUUCUUCUUGAAAUUGUUUGAAGAAGUGAAAACUGGUAUGUGUUUAUUUGUUCACAUUCAUAAAGAUGGCCAUUGCUCUAGUGAUGGACAGAUGGCACAACUUUUAAGAGGCAAACUGACUUUCUUCCCAAAGAAAUAAAUCUUCAACUUCAUGGAGGCAGUUUCAUUCUUAGAUGGAUUCUGGGUUGUAGACUCUCAGGCAUUUUAUGAUCCAUCUCUCACAAUAGGGGCUGCAAAUGACAUGAGUCUUCAUCAGGAAUAAAGGAAAGAAGACAGGUAAAGUAAUAGAGAACUCCCUGAUGUAUUUAUUGCCUCUGAGUCUGAGAUGACUGUUGUCAUUAACUUGUAUAUAUAAACUUUAACUUUGAAACAAAGUACACUCCCAUGAGUUUCAGCCUUUGUACUUUUCAUUGUGUAAAUAUUUGCAAUAA